GGGACAUUUCUGACCCGGACAAAAUUCCCCAAGCACUUUCCAAUUGUUUGUGCAGUUCAAGUCUGCAGACAUUUGCUAAUCUCCCGUCAGAACAGGAUCUGCACACGUGUUCACAUUUUCCAUCUGUUGCCCUCAUUGUUUUCGUUACUAAUAAUAACUUUGGAAAUGUGUGCGUUUCUAUCAAAUGGCGCAGCGGUCAAAGGCACAGCACGGGGUCAAAGGCACAGCACGGUGCUAGAGACAUCACUACAGACUCCCUGGUUCAAAUCCAUGCUGCGUUUCUAAAAACCACAAACAGUAUUUGCCAAUAUCAUAACUGGACAUCUUUCGAGCUGAAGAUUGAGGACAGCUUUUGUAUGCUAACGUUCUCUCCUUAACAGUUUUACUGGAUGGAAACACAGCAAGAAAACACAUAGGCCAAUAUGUAAUAGUCGUCUAUUUUAUUGAAGUAUUGGUAGUUGGUUCAACAACAACUUGUUUUACUAGAGGACAAAAAAUUGAAUAUGCAUAACC